AUGGCAAGAGCCUUACCAUGGGUAAUCUUUGCAGCCACCCUGCUGCUGCUAGCAAGCAUCAAGAGCAGCACAGCGUCCAGGAUGGCGAAGCCUGGAUGCCAAGAAACAUGCGGCAACCUCACCAUCCCAUACCCCUUCGGCAUCGGUCAAGGUUGCUUCUACAGUGAAGAGUUUGAUGUUUCAUGCGAGAACAAUCGUGUGUUCAUGCAUAACUCGAGCAGCCAAAUGGAGAUCUACAACAUCAGUCUGUCAGGAGGGCAGACCCGAGUCAGCACAUUGAUUGCCUCCAAGUGCUUCUACAGCAACAGCAACAACACAGAUGGAUGGGUCUCAUCAAAUACUGCUGAUUUCUUUAAGAUAUCCACCAAGGCGAACAAAUUAACAGCAGUUGGAUGCAACACCCUUGCAUUCCUGGGAGGCUAUAACGAGCACAGUGUGGGAGCUGGGUGUUUCUCGAUGUGCGCGGACAAGCAAAGUGUGGAUCACAGUGGGCAGUGCUCUGGCAUGGGCUGUUGCCAGACAUCUAUUGCACCAAACCUCAGUUCCUCCAAUAUAUCAUUCGAUGACAGAUUCGACAAUUCGGAGGUGCGUGGCUUUAACCCAUGCAGCUAUGCUUUUGUCGCAGAGCAGGAUUGGUUCAGGUUCGAGGCUUCCUAUCUCGAAGAUAAUAAAUUCACAGAGAAGUUCAACAACGGGGUACCUACUGUGCUUGACUGGGUUGCUGGACAUGAAAACUGUGAUGAAGCAGGGAACAACAUGUCAUCUUACGCCUGCAUCAGCAAGAAUAGCCAUUGCAUCAUGUCACCAAAUGCUACAGGAUAUCUCUGUACCUGCAGCGAUGGUUUUGCAGGCAACCCCUACCUGGAAGGAGGAUGCCAAGACAUCAAUGAGUGCAGUUUUCGAGAUCAGUAUCCUUGCCAUGGAACCUGCAGCAACACAAUUGGGGACUACAGUUGCUCAUGCGACUCUGGGACUACCAGCAUAGAUCCAAAGAGAGAAACCUGCAAACCAAUUGCAGUUUCAGAAAGAGCUAGAUUAACAAAAAUCUUUAUAGGUAUUUCAGCAUGUGCUGUACUUCUCCUUAUCUGCAUUUUGGCACUCCUGAUUGAAUGUCAGAAGAGAAGGCUGGCGAAAGAAAAGCAGAUAUUCUUCCAACAAAAUGGUGGCCUGCUACUAUAUGAGCAAAUCAGGUCAAAGCAAGUUGAUACAGUGAGAAUAUUCACAAGGGAAGAACUAGAGAACGCAACAAACAAUUUUGACUCAAGCAGAGAAUUAGGAAGAGGUGGCCAUGGAACUGUUUACAAGGGAAUUCUCAAAGACGGAAGAGUGGUAGCCAUAAAGCGCUCAAAGGUUAUGAACAUGGACCAGAAAGAUGAAUUUGCGCAAGAGAUGGUUAUACUUUCACAGAUAAACCACAGGAAUGUGGUAAAGCUUCUAGGAUGUUGCUUAGAAGUGGAAGUUCCAAUGUUGGUAUAUGAAUGCAUCCCAAACGGCACCCUAUUCGAGCUGAUGCAUGGUAAAAACAGAAGACUUUCCAUCUCACUGGAUACACGUCUCAGGAUAGCUCAGGAAUCUGCAGAAGCACUAGCAUAUCUGCACUCAUCAGCAUCCCCUCCCAUAGUUCAUGGAGAUGUAAAAUCUCCAAACAUUCUCCUAGGCGACAACUUCACAGCAAAAGUGACUGAUUUUGGAGCAUCAAGAAUGCUUCCUACGGAUGAAAUACAAUUUAUGACAAUGGUACAGGGAACUAUAGGUUAUCUUGACCCUGAAUACUUGCAAGAGCGUCAACUAACAGAGAAGAGUGAUGUUUAUAGUUUUGGAGUUGUGCUCCUAGAGCUCAUUACAAUGAAGUUCGCAAUUUAUUCUGACAGUGCUGGAGAAAAGAAAAACCUUGCAUCAUCCUUCCUUCUGGCAAUGAAAGAAAAUGGACUUCAAUUCAUCUUGGACAAGAAUAUAUUAGACUUCGAAGCGGAGCUGCUCCAAGAAAUUGCUCAAUUGGCAAAGUGUUGCUUGAGUAUGAGGGGGGAAGAACGGCCAUUAAUGAGAGAUGUCGCUGAGAGGUUGAGAUCAAUACGAAGCACCUGGAGAGAACAAUUGAUUCAGAAUCCUAGCAGGGAAACUGAAUGUUUGCUUGAGAACUCGUCACACUAUGACCCUUCUAGCACUGGACAGCACGGAAGUCUGAUGGCGCUAGAUUUAGAAAGUGGUAGAUGA
rnacentral:rRNA from 1 species